GAAUCUAAACUAAUGCAUAUGGUGGAUACCUUGGUUCUCUUGGCCGAUAAAGGACGUGGUAGUCUGCGCUAAGCUCCGGUCAGCUGACAACAAGCGUUUUAUCCGGAGAUUUCCGAAUGGGGCAACCUGCUUCGUUUUACGGAGCACCCACCGCCCAAUACAUAAGCGGUGUGGAGGGAACUCCCUGAACUGAAACAUCUUAGUAAGGGGAGGAAAAGAAAACAAUAGUGAUUCCCCUAGUAGUGGCGAGCGAACGGGGAACAGCCUAAACUUCGAGCUUGCUCGGAGGGUUGUAGGACCCACCUAUCUUUAAUGAUACGGAGUCAAAAACCUUUUUGAUAGUAGAAGGACCUGGAAACGGUCCGCCACAGAGAGUGAAAGUCUCGUAUACGAAAUCAACAAGGCUUCUGGUGAGUACCUGAGUACCGCGGGGCACGUGAAAUCCUGCGGGAAGCGACCUGGACCACCCAGGUAAGGCUAAAUACCAAGAGAGACCGAUAGUGAACUAGUACCGUGAGGGAAAGGUGAAAAGAACGCUGGACAAGCGAGUGAAAUAGAUUUGAAACCAUAUGCAAACAAUCAGUCGGAGCUGUGCGAGGCUUUUAGCCUCGCAGACCUAAGAUUUAAGUUUUAAGAUGUCAGAUAUCUUAGAUCUUACAUCCGAAAUCUGCGAAGCUGUAAGCUUCGCAUGGUGACGGCGUGCCUAUUGAAGAAUGAGCCGGCGAGUUAUUCCGAUGUGCGUUAGCCUAAGGGCAUAAAUGUCCGAAAGCAAAGUGAAAGCGAGCUCUAACUGAGCGUUUGUACAUCGGUAUAGACCCGAAACCGGGUGAGCUACCUAUGGCCAGGGUGAACGUCAGAGAAAUCUGACCGGAGGCCCGAACCCGUGUCUGUUGCAAAAGGCUGGGAUGAGCUGUGGGUAGAGGUGAUAUGCCAAUCGAACCCGGAGAUAGCUGGUUCUCCCCGAAAUAUAUUUAAGUAUAGCCUUCUGUGUUCAACUUGUGGGGUAGAGAUACUGAAUGGUCGCGACGAGCGCAAGCGAGUCCGACUAACCAAACUCCGAAUACGCAAGUCAAAAAGCAGAGGAGUCAGACUAGCCGGGCUAAGCCGGUUGGUCGAAAGGGAAACAGCCCAGACCGUCAGUUAAGGUCCCAAAGAUCAAGCUAAGUGUGGAAGGAAGUGUCGUUCCUUAGACAGAUAGAAGGUUGGCUCAGAGGCAGCCAUCCUUUAAAGAGUGCGUAACAGCUCACUAUCCGAAUUGGGAACGUCGCGCCGAAAAUUCAACGGGGCUCAAGCUUGACACCGAAACUACGGAUCGCGCAAGCGAUGGUAGGGGAGCGUUCUUGGCAGCAGUGAAGGCAAUCUGUAAGGAUUUCUGGAGCGCCAAGAAGUGAGAAUGCCGGCAUGAGUAGCGAGACUUGGGUGAAAAACCCAAGCACCGAAAGCCCAAGGUUUCCUUCGCUAUGUUAAUCAGCGAAGGGUUAGUCGGUCCUAAGCCCAGGCCGUUAUAGGCGUAAGCGAUGGACAAGCCGUCAAAAUUCGGCUACCAAAUAUAGCCCGUUAUUAACGAAGGGUUGACAAAGAUGGAUCUUUCCAGGCGAGUUAUGCGAUUUGCUCUAAGUAGUAAAGAAGUGAUAGUAGGAAAAUCCGCUGUUGCGUUUAUUCGAGCUACGAUGGUUCAUUUGAGUCUUCGGACAAGGAUGGAUGGAUCGGAUUCAACUUUCAAGAAAAUUCUCGUCGUGAGGACUAUAUUUGACCGUACCGCAAACCGACACAGGUGGGCAGGUAGAGAAUACUAAGGUGAUCGAGAAAACUAUUUCCAAGGAACUCGGCAAAACAGCUGGGCGUAAGCUAUGCAAGAUGCCCUGCCCCGAGCAAUCGGGGCCGCAGCGAAUGAAUCUCAAGCGACUGUUUAACAAAAACACAGGGCUCUGCAAACCCGUAAGGGGAAGUAUAGGGCCUGAGGCCUGACCAGUGCUGUAAGGUUAAGGAAGGGGCUGAAAGGUCUCGACUGAAGCCACAGUAAACGUCCGCAGUAACUAUAACUGUGCUAAGGUAGCGAAAUUCCUUGUCGGGUAAGUUCCGACCCGCACGAAAGGCAGAACGACUUGAGAACUGUCUUGGAAGUAGACUCGGCGAAAUUGAGAUGGCUGUGAAGACGCGGCCUAGGUAUGCCAGGACAAAAAGACCCCGUGGAGCUUUACUACAACUUGGCCCUGCGUUAGGUUGUAAGAUGUGUAGUGUAGGUGGGAGGCUUCGGCCGUCAAUGAAACACCACCCUUCUUGUUAUUUGACGCUAACUCCGAGCCGUUCAAACCGGCCGGAAGACAAGGUCUGGCGGGUAGUUUGACUGGGGCGGUCGGCUGCUAAAGAGUAACGCAGCCGCCC
rnacentral:rRNA from 1 species